rnacentral:misc_RNA from 1 species
AACGCACAUUGCGCCCUUUGGUAUUCCGAAGGGCAUGCCUGUUCGAGCGUCAUUAUCACCCCUCAAGCCCGGCUUGUUGUUGGUGGCGGCGCGACCCUCCCCCGGUCGCGCCCCGCCCAAAGAUAAUGACGGCGUCUGUGAGGACUCCUGUACACUGAGCUUUCGGGCACGUACACGGCUUAGAAGUCCAGGCGCCGGUCGACGUUUCCGUCCCCCCUCCAGGGGGCAGAGACACCCCUUUUUACCAAGGUUGACCUCGGAUCAGGUAGGGAUACCCGCUGAACUUAA